rnacentral:lncRNA from 1 species
GCUGAUGUAAUCAAGAUGGGUCCGAAUAGUUUCGGUAUGGGUCAAACUCCAAUCGUAAACCGAAACCUGCCCUCCAUGAGCUACCCAAACGGAUCCGUCAGAAUCAACGGCGUUAAAGUCCGUUACAACGCCGUCAGAUGAGGGGCGGAUAGUUGAAAGAAGUGAAGCGUCGAUUCCGCUGAGUUGACUCGGAGCGAGUGCGGAUCUGAGCUGUGAUUCAAUUCCGUAGUAAACAGCUUCGUCGAUGAGUUCUUGAUUGGAGAAUCGUUUUGCGGUCGAAGGGAGACGAUUAGACCGGAGAAGAGCUAAGAGAGCCGAGAAGAUUUCUGGGUCCCGGUCGAUGAAAACCGGUUCGUCGGAAUUCCGGUUUGAUAAGGCGGAUAAGAGAGAAUCGGGUCCACCAGAGCGAAGUGUGGAUACUGUUGUUUCAAAGAGCUUGCCUCCGACGUUGAGCUUCACACGGUCGCUGACUUGGCUUUGAAUUGUAGUACGUCGUGCUCCGUUGAUUGUACCGUCCUCCAU